rnacentral:misc_RNA from 1 species
GAUUAAUUACUUUUUAUUCAUUGCACUUGCGGCAUUAAUCUGAGAUAGAAUUAGCUUGACCCAAAUGAAUAUAGUUGAUGUAUUUAUUAUGUACAUGCAAGUACACAAGUCUUAGUACUCCUUCCUUUAUGGUUGUAUAUAUGAUUGGUAUUAUUGCAUUUUGCUUGUAGGCGAGUUUCACCAGAGACAGAUAUCAUAGGUCCUCAAAUUCAACUGGCAAUUGUGGUUAGCGCCACCAGAAUUACUGGUUAUGUCUUCAAAGAGGUGUCUAUUUUCCAGCUCCUAGCAAAUUAGAGGAUAAGUUUUUUAGGCAUAGCUGCUCCAAUCAGAGGGCAAGAAGAGUUUGAUGUGACAAAGGGAUGCGCAUAGUUUUUGUGCAAAACGCAUAUAAUCAAAUGGGUGAUGAUCGUGAAUCUGUGUUCAUGCGAAUGCAAAGUUUUGAUGUGAUUACCAUUCUUUGAAGCAAUUCCAUUGGCUGGUCCAUUGUAUUGUACCGAAGGAUCAAGUCAAGCUACGAAACAUGAUGGGAUGGGACGUGUAUAGUAAGGCAUUUCAGUCUUUACUCAUCUCGUACAUUUUCUAUGAGAAUGCAUUCCAAAUUUACAAUUGAUUAAAUGUUCUGAUAGUCUGACGUGGAAUUCUAGCGUGCACACCCGCUCAUGCCACGUGCCAGGCACCCAAUUGCUUAUCUUGGCAAAUGUUAUCCCAGGAAUCGUUGUACACCACCCAGAGAAAGGGGAGUGAAAAAAUCUAAUGAACCUUGAUAGCUACAUGAUUCACAUUCAAAGCCUCACAAAUUUGAUCUUCAAACACACAAUUUUAAUCCAAUAGCACCAAUUCAAAAGCACUUUGCUUUUUCUUUUCCUUUUCCUUUUUGUUUCCCU